rnacentral:rRNA from 1 species
CGGCGGACGGGUGAGUAAUGCCUAGGAAUCUGUCUGGUAGUGGGGGACAACGUUUCGAAAGGAACGCUAAUACCGCAUACGUCCUACGGGAGAAAGCAGGGACCUUCGGGCCUUGCGCUAUCAGAUGAGCCUAGGUCGGAUUAGCUAGUUGGUGAGGUAAUGGCUCACCAAGGCGACGAUCCGUAACUGGUCUGAGAGGAUGAUCAGUCACACUGGAACUGAGACACGGUCCAGACUCCUACGGGAGGCAGCAGUU